AUGUGCGCACAGCCGGGCCGCUCCUCUGAAGGUGCUGAGCCGCCUCUAAUCACAGCGCCACACUGGCUGCAGGUCGCUGGGUGUAGGAUGAAUCCAGCUGUGAAGAGGCUGCAUUUUCUGGGAGGUUUCUGUGAAGUUACUGAACAGCCAAAAGGUCAACAACCAAACCCUGACCGCCAAGCUCAUCGCCGAGCAAGCAAAGCGUCCACCAGCAGCUCCCAGUGCAGGGAGGAAUUUUCUCUCCUGUUUCCAUUUGCUCCUCAGACCCUGGGUAAGUCAUGAACAAGCUCAGUGUGCAGACACAGCAGCGUUCGAAGCAGAGCCUGGGGGCUGCCUGGCCUUCCUGCUUAGGAACUUUGUUCUCACAAACGAGGCAAGCUAUGGCAAUUUUGCAAGAAAAGGUUCAUUUCAUGUAAAUGUGCAGGACUGUGGGAGCUGUCCUUAGCUGUAGGUGCAUCUGUGAGUAUGUGUUUGUGUGUUGGUGUGAAUGUGUAUGAGUAUGCAUGUAGGAGUGUACAUGUGUGAGAAUGUGAGUGUGUGUGAAUGAGUAUGUAUUUGUGUGUUAGUGUGAAUGAGUGUGUAUGAAUAUGUGUGUGCAUGUGAGUAUGAAUGUAAACAAGUGUGUCUAUAUUAGUGUGAGUGCAUGUGAGAGUAUAUGGAGAGAGUGUGGGAGCGUGGGCACGAGCGUGCAAGGGCACCUGGCUGUGUAUGAGCAUGUGUGAGUGUGGGCAUCAGUGUGUGAGGGCAUCUGGGUAUGCGUGAGUGUGUGAGAGCAUGGGCGUGAAAAUGCGAGGGUGUCUAGGUGUGUGUGACAGUGUGGGCACGAGUGUCUGAGGGCAUCUGGGUGCAUGUGAGCGUGUGAGAGCGUGGGCAUGAGUGUGCAAGGGCAUCUGAGUGUGUGUGAGAGUGGGGGCACGGGUGCACAAGGGCGUCUGGGUGCGUGUGAGAGCGUGGGCACCUCUGGUGUGUGCAUUGGGUCUCACAGUGUUAGAUUGUUAUGCAAACAGGUGACUCCUUCCUGGCUGGGGCUGAUUGUCUCUGGAGGUUCUGAGGUCUCAGCACCAGGCAGGGACGCGUGACAUCCUCCCUCCCUGACUGUGGACACCAGGGUGACUUCCCAGCUCCACGUGGACGGGCAGCUGCCCGUGUGCUCCUCAAGCCUCCACACCAUGAAGAAGAGAUGCGGCUCGGUCCUUCCGAGCAUUAAUAAAAAAGUCCCUCAGGGGCUGUUGAGAAACAGGCCAGAAAUACCAAUGCAGGAAGGACAAAAGAAAAAUAAAUAUGUAAGCACAGCUCAGUACAACACCAAAAACAAAGCAGAUUAAUAAAUAAAUGAAUAAAUACAAUUUAGUAAAAUUAAUGGAGACAUUGCCAUCAUGAAUGUUCUGAAACAUGUCAAACAUUCACAGAAGACACUAGGAGCAACACAAUAUUAAAAAAGUAAAUACCUGUAAACACAGUUAACAUUUGCCAUGCUUAAUGGAUUCAUCCUGUUCUGCACUGACCACAGUAGACAUUUCUUUUUUUUUUUUUUUUUUGAGACGGAGUCUCACGCUGUUGCCCAGGCUGGAGUGCAGUGGCGCGAUCUCGGCUCACUGCAAGCUCCGCCUCCCGGGUUCCCGCCAUUCUCCUGCCUCAGCCUCCUGAGUAGCUGGGACUACAGGCGCCCGCCACCGCGCCCGGCUAAUUUUUUGUAUUUUUAGUAGAGACGGGGUUUCACUGUGGUCUCGAUCUCCUGACCUUGUGAUCCGCCCGCCUCGGCCUCCCAAAGUGCUGGGAUUACAGGCUUGAGCCACCGCGCCCGGCCCACAGUAGACAUUUCUAACAGCUAAAAACAUUGAAUUCAGGACAUGAGGGUUCAUAGAAACACAAGACUAGAAAAGUGAUAAAAGUGAUGAGCUUGAUUUCUGGGCGAAUAUAUUUCUGCUUGGGAGAGUGUGUAUUUUUAAUAUUACAAGAAUUUGAAAAAAAAAGAUAAAUUUUCAUGAAAAACAAAUGCUGUCUUCCACAUACACAUUUGUAAACAAAUACUUCCUUUUAAAGGACGUGCAUAACUCUAGAAUAUUAUGAAGUUACUUUUCCUUCCUCAGGAGAAUUUUGGGCAAUGUAGAGUUUUGGGAAAAAGUCAUUUCGUAUAAAUCUGGAAUAUUGAUAUUCUACCAAAUAUGUAUCAUCUGUGUAAAAUAAUGAUAAUUAUGAUUUUCUUUCAAAAAUAUUUAAUGUUUUAAUGUUUCUGAUUAUAAAACCUUAUAAAAAUGUG
ensembl:lncRNA